rnacentral:tRNA from 1 species
GUUGGGUUAGUUUAGUGUAGAACAACACUUUUUCGUAGUGUUAGUGGGGUGUUACUUCACCCAAUG